UACAAAAGACACAAAGCACCAGACUCCACAGCAUCAACACUCUUAGAGCAAGAGCACCACAGCCUCCCAGUCAUUAGUAGUUGUAGAUGUUUCAUCUCCACUUGUAAUAAAGCCUUAUGUUGAAGGCAUUGUAUCAUCAGGUAGCGAAGAUUGGAAGGAAGAAGGGAUCCUAUAGGAGAAAUCUCUGUCGGGAGUUUACCCUUGUGUGGCGUCUGAUGAGAACCUUGUGGCCAUAGAGUGUUCCCUUCAGAUGGAACUGCCUGGCAAGACGGACCUUUUAAGGCUGCAGAAACCAAGAAAAUGACCGAUGGUCUGUGUAGUGGUUGUGUUAGUCCUACUCGGAGUUUUGUCCAGAUCGAGGAUUUUUUCUAGACUGAAGACCUUGUCCUAACAGAGGAUCUUUUUUCCAAAGUGAAGACCUUGUCUUGACAGAGGAUUUUGUCCAAACUGAAGACAUUGUCCCCAUCAUAUUUUUAUAUUCUUGGCCUCUUGUGCCAUGAUUUUAUUUCAAGACAUCCAUGUGUCGUUGCAUGCCAUGAAGUAUUAUGUAAGCCAUCCAUGCGUGGCUUAGUAUUCUAGCUUGAAUGAAGGACUUUAUCUUGAUUGAGGAGUUUAGCUUAACUCCUCUCAUUUGCCUUUCCUGAUACGGGUGAUGCUCCUUGUUGGUCUCUACUUGCACAAAUAUUCAUCCUACAGAUAUUUUAGGUAGGAGUCUUCCCCGCCCAUAUUAUUGAUAAUACUUUAUCAAUAUUCAGAUUAUAUCAAUAUUCGGGUAUAGAUCCUCUGCACCCGAAUAAUUGAUAGUCAUAUCAAUUCAUGUUCAGAUAUAUUUGAGGAUUAUGCUUAUGAUCUUCUAAUUGAUUGGUUCCCGUGUUCGGCAAUAUCCAUAUGAUCUUCAUCGGAAAGAUUGGGGUAAUAUUUUUUAUCAUAUUCUUUCUUUAGAUUUCAAAAUUUCCAUCAUUUCCAAUCAUAAUUCUUUUAAAAUUUCUU